GAAUGAAGGAAGCAUGGUACUGUGUACAGAAAUCAAUCCAAUGGUACUAAUGUCUGCUCGCUUUGAUGCCUUCUGGCUUUGAUUUUGCGGGCCUGGAAUCAGUCCCACAUUU
rnacentral:snoRNA from 1 species